rnacentral:rRNA from 1 species
GACGAACGCUGGCGGCGUGCCUAAUACAUGCAAGUCGAACGCACGGGGAACGGGUUAGUAACACGUGGGUAACCGCCCAUCAGAGUGGCUAACACUUGGAAACAGGUGCUAAACCGAUACUGGAGGAUGGACCCGCGGUGCAUUAGCUAGUUGGGGAGGUAAAGGCUCACCAAGGCAACGAUGCAGAGCCGACUUGAGAGGGUGAUCGGCCACACUGGGACUGAGACACGGCCCAGACUCCUACGGGAGGCAGCAGUAGGGAAUCUUCGGCAAUGGACGAAAGUCUGACCGAGCAAUGCCGCGUGAGUGAAGAAGGUUUUCGGAUCGUAAAGCUCUGUUGUUAGAGAAGCGGUAUCUAACCAGAAAGCCACGGCUAACUACGUGCCAGCAGCCGCGGUAAUUC